rnacentral:lncRNA from 1 species
AGAAAUCAUAUUUUAUAUAAUCUGUUUUAGAAAAUGUACUUACUUUUUUGGCAUAAUACCAAAAAUAGUCCCUAAUAUUUGACUAUUUGAUCAUUUUGACCCUUUAUGUUUUUUAUCACUUUGGCCCCUAACUUUUUUUUUGGUUAAAUUAGUCUAUUUAAAAUAAAUAAAUAAAAACCCUAAUUUCUUCUCCUAAACUAUAUGUUUCUUUCCUACAUUUCCAAUUUCCUACUACAUUUCAAAAAAAAAAAAACCAACCACUAUCUUUCUUCUACAAUCAAAGAUUAAAAUAAAAAUCC